rnacentral:lncRNA from 10 species
CCAGCAGUCCCGAGAGGACCCGCAGACCCUCUGAAGGAAGUGGGCUGCUCCUGCAGGACCCGGGAGACCCCCGCAAAAGUCUGAAUGCAACAGCCCCUGGUUUCCUGCUCUGUGAGGAAUGGCUAGACCACAUCUCCUGCUGGUGACAAGUGUCAGAAGUAUUGAUUCUGCAACAAACUGAGAAGAAACCUGGCGAUUCACAACAGAGAGCUGAGAAAUCCUAAGUCUGGAUUCCAGCUAAAUGGGAGCAGACUAAAUAGAGCGGCAGUCGGCGAACUACAUGUAGCCCAUGAACAAAAUCCGGUCCAGCACGUGUGUUUUUUUUUACGGCCCACAAAUGAGUCUGUCUUUACAGAUGAAUGUUAAAACUGGGUUGACAAGAGAGAACACUCACUUUGAACCGCAACUAAACAAAAUAUUAUCACCUUUCCCCUCAAAAAAGGUUUUUGUUCUUCUCAUUAGUAAAUUUGUAUUAUGACAAAA